UGUUAAAAAUUCUAUCUAUUUCUAUUAUUAAGAAUUAGCGUAAUUGAUAAAAUAAUCAAAUAGUUACACGUAACGUACUACAUGUACCUUGUUCUAAUGUAAAGAGACCGGUUUUUAACAACAUGAAUGAAUAAAAAUUUUAACA
rfam:Gossypium hirsutum cultivar TM-1 unplaced genomic scaffold scaffold288.1, whole genome shotgun sequence